CCGGAGCGCUCACAUCACCCUCAAGGAAAAGUACUUGGUUCUGAAGCACUGAUAUUCAAAGAGGUGAAACUUGGUAAUAAUGAAUAGGCGCCAGCAAGCCUUACAGCUCAGCCUGCAGUGCCAGCGUCGUUGAGGCAGCAAUGGAAGGGGGAACAAAAUAAAAGAAGACAUUUCACAAACACUGGACCUGCACUGUGCGUGACAAGAAAAAUAAUUGAAACAACUGAGAGAACUAAUCUGUGGCUGCUUAGGAAGUUAACUCUUCGAAGGAAAUGAUUAAGUAAGAGAACAAAAGCCAAGUGUUAUGUUUAUCAAACAAGGAAACCUCACAAAUGAGUAUGCCUGCUCGUGGCAGCGGGGCCACAGCACUGACAGACCGCACAGGAGCAGCUCCCACCACGCUACAUCCCUGAGGUUAGUAAGCAGCUCCUAUCUCAAGGAAAUACACUUUUUAAGAAAUGCAAAGCAUUGCUUUGCCAGAACGAAACGCUACAGGAAGGCAUCUGCAACGUCCUGUGCCUUUAUGAAAUUCCCUUCACGCAAUUCCUGCUCAGCAUAAAACUCACUACGAUUUCAGCAAGGAACCCUGGUUAAGCAGGACAGUAUUUACAAAUUCAGGCCAGAAACGCUCGCUUUUGUGUCGUUCCAUCACAAAUACAGCGCUCACAAAUUCAGCCGUCCAAAACAAGACUCCAACUUUGCAAAAAACAAAACAAAACAAACAGACCUCGCCUCGACCUACAACAACACAUCCACUCACGACUGGCUGAAGCAGACUUCACAGCAUACACUAAACCUACCAGUUCAUAGGAAAGUUCUUCAGCAAGUUUCUAUAUAUCAACAUUUUUUUGUUUUUUAUUACAACUAUUUCUAUGAGCCCAUUCACAGUCGGCUCCUUUACUGCAAUCGAACAUGAUGGAUUGGUAGCCAGCUAAUGCUUAUGUAAGGCCUUCAAGGAAGCAGAAAAUUAUUUCAUAUAAAAUCAAGCUAGUAUAGCAAUGGAAUUGUACUACUACAUAUUAAAUAUUAUUAAUAAGAGACCUGCCUUGCAGUCAAAUGCUACAUCCCAUUAGUAUAGCCAAAUAAGUCCUGCCAUAAAAGCUAACUGUUCUCAGUCAAAAGAAUGAUGAUAGCUAAGAAGCACCUGCUUUUUUGAUUUAAAAACACCACACUUCUUAAUAAAAACAAACAUGAAGAGGCAGGAAGAGUAUAUCUUUAUGAUUUGCAUAAGUCUGAUUUAACUUUGGUCAAAAACAAAAAUAAAGAAAACAAUUUUCAAGUGUGUGACGUAAA